CCUACGGGGUGCAGCAGUGGGGAAUAUUGGGCAAUGGGCGCAAGCCUGACCCAGCAACGCCGCGUGAAGGAAGAAGGCUUUCGGGUUGUAAACUUCUUUUCUCAGGGACGAAGAAAGUGACGGUACCUGAGGAAUAAGCCACGGCUAACUACGUGCCAGCAGCCGCGGGAAUACGUAGGUGGCAAGCGUUAACCGGAGUUAUUGGGUGUAAAGGGCGUGUAGGCGGGAGCGCAAGUUAGAUGUGAAACCUCCGGGCUCAACCCUGAGCCUGCAUUUGAAACUGUGUUUCUUGAGUGCUUGAGAGGCAAGCGGAAUUCCGUGUGUAGCGGUGAAAUGCGUAGAUAUACGGAGGAACACCAGUGGCGAAGGCGGAUUGCUGGACAGUAACUGACGCUGAGGCGCGAAAGCGUGGGGAGCAAACAGGAUUAGAUACCCUAGUAGUC
rnacentral:rRNA from 1 species